rnacentral:rRNA from 1 species
UCGACGGCAGCACGGGAGCAAUCCUGGUGGCGAGUGGCGAACGGGUGAGUAAUGUAUCGGAACGUACCUUUCAGUGGGGGAUAACGUAGCGAAAGUUACGCUAAUACCGCAUAUUCUGUGAGCAGGAAAGCAGGGGAUCGCAAGACCUUGCGCUGAUUGAGCGGCCGAUAUCAGAUUAGCUAGUUGGUGAGGUAAAGGCUCACCAAGGCGACGAUCUGUAGCGGGUCUGAGAGGAUGAUCCGCCACACUGGAACUGAGACACGGUCCAGACUCCUACGGGAGGCAGCAGUGGGGAAUUUUGGACAAUGGGGGCAACCCUGAUCCAGCCAUGCCGCGUGAGUGAAGAAGGCCUUCGGGUUGUAAAGCUCUUUCAGCCGGGAAGAAAACGCAUGGGUUAAUACCCUGUGUGGAUGACGGUACCGGAAUAAGAAGCACCGGCUAACUACGUGCCAGCAGCCGCGGUAAUACGUAGGGUGCGAGCGUUAAUCGGAAUUACUGGGCGUAAAGCGUGCGCAGGCGGUUUUGUAAGUCUGUCGUGAAAUCCCCGGGCUCAACCUGGGAAUUGCGAUGGAGACUGCAAGGCUAGAGUUUGGCAGAGGGGGGUAGAAUUCCACGUGUAGCAGUGAAAUGCGUAGAGAUGUGGAGGAACACCGAUGGCGAAGGCAGCCCCCUGGGCCAAUACUGACGCUCAUGCACGAAAGCGUGGGUAGCAAACAGGAUUAGAUACCCUGGUAGUCCACGCCCUAAACGAUGUCAACUAGGUGUUGGGUGGGUAAAACCAUUUAGUACCGGAGCUAACGCGUGAAGUUGACCGCCU